GGGNCUUAGCUCAGCUGGGAGAGCGCCUGCUUUGCACGCAGGAGGUCAUCGGUUCGAUCCCGAUAGGCUCCACCA
rnacentral:tRNA from 1 species